rnacentral:rRNA from 1 species
GUCUAUGGCCAUGCUACCCUGAAUGCGCCCAAUCCCGUCUGAUCUUGGAAGCUAAGUAAGGUCAGCCUGGUUAGUACUUGGAUGGGAGACCACCUAGGAAGACCAGGUGCUGUAGGUG